UACGAAGGGGGCUAGCGUUGCUCGGAAUUACUGGGCGUAAAGCGCACGUAGGCGGCUUUCUAAGUCGGGGGUGAAAUCCUUGAGCUCAACUCCAGAACUGCCUUCGAUACUGGAAAGCUCGAGACCGGGAGAGGAGGGUGGAAUAGCCAGUGUAGAGGUGAAAUUCGUAGAUAUUGGCUGGAACACCGGUGGCGAAAGCGGCUCUCUGGCCCGGUUCUGACGCUGAGGCGCGAAAGCGUGGGGAGCAAACAGG
rnacentral:rRNA from 1 species